rnacentral:lncRNA from 1 species
CUCCAUUUUCAUUGAUACAUUCCGAUGAUUCUUCUCUCUUCUCACCUCUGUGAAUACCUCUCGUGUUGUGGGAAGUGGAUAACUUAGGACUCGACCUCUAACAUCGUCAAGUUCGCGAUUGAGGCCAUCAAGGAACUCAUACACUCGCUCGUUUUCAAGGCUUUUUUGUACUUAACACUAUCUCCAGGUAUUCCCAGUCUUCUUCACUACUGAUGUCCAGUUCUAGCCAGAUAGAGGUCAUCUCUAAGUAAUAAUCAGUAACAUUUCUCCGGUCAUGUAACCUAGCUUUCUUUUUCCAUUGAUUAACAAUUUUAUUAAUAGAGCCCAUUCCCUGAAGUUUCUUCCGUUAAAUUUUUCCACUAUGAGUUGGAAGGAACCAUUAUCUACUCCAGUCGAGGCCAUCAUGGAAUUGAUUUUUGCCUAGCUAUGUAAGGAUUCAGAAGUCAUGGAGCCUACCUAUUGAUGGGCACUUCUGUCAUUGAUUUCUACCUUGCUCUGAUACCAUGAGAACAGAAAUAAUUUUUCGUAUUUCUACACUUCAAAAAUAACUAUACAUCCCAAUUUAUAAUACAAUCGGGUGAGCAAGAAAGGAAAGAAAUCUCUUAAAUUAGGAAAGAAAGCAAUUCACGUAAUUACAGACUACUAACUAUGGUAAUGUCCAAAUAUAUUACAGGAAUAAAUAAAUUACAAUCUUUUAGGAUUUCUACAUUUUGACCUCAUCUUUAAAGAUUGUUUAACUAAGUUUAUAUUUUGAAUUUCUAGAUAUUAUCUAAGUUUGUUAUUGUUGUUGCUAUAGAUUGAAUUUCAAGAUCUAUUAUGUAUGGUUUGAAGUAAUCACAAAUACUAGUUUUUAGGAAAAAAAUUUAUCGAAAUAUUGUAUAAAUACUAAGUCAAUUAUCAAUGAAAAAGUAUAAAAAAUAAUUUAGUUUAUCAUUUGUUAUGAUAUGAUAGCUAUAUCCAAAAUGAUAGUCGGUCCUCUUACCCCCCCCCCCCCCCCUGAUUCUUUGCCAAUCAAAAUUAUCUCACCUAAUUCUAUCUCCUUCCAACUUCUUGUUCAAUUGAUUCACUCCCUUUCAUUUUUCAAGCAUCCUAGUGACUAGCUUUACUUCCACUGCUUUCACUAAAGUUCCACCUGCCAUAAUUCACAACACUAAUGAAACCCCACAAUUCCUUUAUAAUUAGCAUCAACAUGGCAGCACAAACUCCUCUUAAAUACAUCCAAAAACUACAUCUCUUGGAAUUUACAAUUUUAGACUCUAUUUAUUAGCUAUUAUCUAUUUGGUUAUGUUGAUGGAUCAAAAGCAUCAACCCCACCCAUGCUUACUCAAAAUGGGAUCACAAUCCCCAAUCUUGCCCACAUUAUAUGGACUUGUCAGGAUUAGCUAAUACUCAAUGUGAUCAUCGGCUUGAUCUCACCCACCAUGAUACCUUUCAUUGCUCAAGACAAAACAUUUAGUCGAGCUACCAUUUUAUACACUAUAUAUGCCAUUCCCUCUCGAGGCCACGUCAAGAAAGUUAAAAGCCAACUUAAACAAAUCACCAAAGGUUCAAGAAGUGUGACUAAGUUCCUACAAAACGUUAAAGCACUGGUUGAUGAGUUUGCUCUUCUUGGAGCGCCAAUUGUCAUCGAGGACCUCAUAGAUAGCUGGCCUCGGUAAUGACUACAAGAAACUAGCUCGUACAAUCCAAGCUAGAGAUAUUCCUCAUCACCUUCAAAGAAAUUCACGAAAUAUUAGUCAACUUUGAGUCCUCAAUGCUACCAAUCCAAUCUAACCAUAUUUACAUUCGAGCCACUCAUAAUUGUACAAGUCCAACCACACAACAUUGGCUCCCAUCAUCUUUCUCUAGCCAUAAUAACAUUUCUUAGUGUUCUUCACCUAAUAAAAACCACAACUACCAUCCCUUACCCACUAUCGAUCCACCACCACUCGUAAGAAUCAUCUAUCUAACCAGAUAUCUCCCUAACCCCAAACAUGAUGUUCUCGCUGAAAGAUAACACCUUUACAUUGUUGAAAUUAUAGCAGUAUUAUCUUAUGUCAUCCCAUCUAGCUUGUUGAUCUCUUGCUUUUGCUACUACUGUUUACUUAGUCAAUUGUAUGCCAACAUCAAUAUUACACUACUCAUCAUCAUAUGAAAGAACAUUUAAAAGUGUUCCUAAUUACGUGAAACCACAAAUUUUUUGUUGUCUUUGUUAUCUCUAGCUACAAUCAUAUAAACUCACAAGCUUGACUCUCACUUUAAACCUUAUGUCUUCCUUGGUUACUCUAAUUCAAAGUGUAUACUAAUAUUUAGAUCCUUCAACUUCUAAAAUCUGUCUCUCACCGUGUAAAGUUUGUCGAGUCUGUGUUCUCUUUCAAUCAUCUAUCUCAUCAAGCCCCUUAUCCUCAAUCACAAACCAUCAUCACUUGAUUCCUUGACCAAUCGAGUCACCUUACCGUAUAUGAUACCACCACUCCAUACACUAUCUAAAGCUAGAACCUGCCAGCAUUCUCCCCAUACCAUCUUCUUCCCCAUAGCUUUACCUUUACCUUCACCUUUACCGUUCAUGCACUCAUCUCCCAAAAACUCCAUGUUGCCACCUCCACCAUUUGAACCUUCAUUGCCUAUUCACAAUAUGACCACUAGGGCCAAAACAACAUGUACCAGCCCCUGACAAAAAUGAAUCUCCAUGUCCAAUUUACCCUAAUUUGUGAUCUUGAACCCACCGUUGUGACUCAAGCUCUAGAAGAUGCCAAAUGACAUCGACAGAAAUGGAAUAUGGGCGCUAGUUCCACUAACUCGAAUUAAAAAAAAAAAAAAUUUGGUUGUAUAUGGUGUUGGUUAUAAGUGGAUUUUUUGAACUAAAUGUAAAUUUGAUGUCUUUAUUAAUAAGUUUAAAGCUUGAUAGCUAAGGGCUUUUGUCAACAUCCUGGCAUUGAUUACCAUGACACAUAUUCAACCAUGUUGUUAAGUUGACUGUCGUCCAUAUUAUUCUUAGUAUAGCAGUAAGUCGUAAUUAGUCAUUAUGCCACUUGAUGUGAACAAUGUAUUCAUACAAGUUCAAUUCUUUGAACAUCUCUACAUAGCUCAUUCACAAGGUUUUAUUGAUUCAAAUAAUCCAUCUUAUGUGUACAAACUUUGCAAACCAUUUAUGACCUUAAACAAGCCCUUCGAGGAUGGUAUAUGACUUCGUACCUUUCUACUUCAUUCUAGCUUUAAGAAUUUACAUGUUGAUUCUUCUCUCUUUACUUACUGAUUUUGAUCACAUUAUAUAUCUCUUCGUCUAUGUUGAUGAUUUGAUCAUUGCAGACAAUAGUAUAUCCAUGGUUAAUAAAAUUGUGGUUGUCCUUUCUUAAAGAUCUGAGCUUACUAAAUUACUUUUUAGGUGUCGAAGUUGUUCCUAAUAAAAAUGUCUUGCUGCUCUAUCAACUAUACAACAUAUGUGACAUUCUUGCCCAAACCAACAUAUAAGACUAGAAGCCAAUUUUCACUCAUUUGCCAACUAGUCCACCUCUUACACUGACCUCAAGCUCUUCCUUGUCAGAUCCUAAUGGUUAUCAUACUAUAAUUGGCAGUCUUCAAUAUCUCUUAAUCACACGACCAGACAUUGCUUUUGAUUUCUCAUAAUACAUGCAUCACCUAACUACAGACCAUUAGACGUGUUAAACGGGUCUUACUAUACUUAUGUGACACUUUUCAUGAUAGUUUGAGGCUAUGAUCCAUUUAUGCUGGCGAUAAAGAUGAUUUUUCCUCUAUAUAUACCUAUGUUGUUUAUCUUGGUCGAGAUCCAGUAUUGUCGGGUUUUAGAAAGUAAAGAAAUGUCAUUGAUCCUCAAUUGAGGUUGAAUAUCAUUCUGUUGCCAAUACCACUGCUAAACGCAAUUGGGUUCAUAUCUCUUAUUGGACCUUAGCGUUAAGGUAUCCUUAUGCCCCAUGAUUUAUUGUGAUAAUUAGCAUCAAUCAACUAUGUUUCAACUUGACGUUCCGUUCAAGAAUGAGGCAUGUUACAAUUGAUUUUCAUUCCAUUCAGGAUCAAAUUCAAAGUGAUACUCUACGUGUUGCUCGUCUGUUGUGAGUCCAUCAAUUAGCUGAUAAUCUCACAAAGCCACUUCCUUUACAUGCAUUCUUGAGCUCAAAUUCAAGAUUGGACUCCACUCCCCGACUUAGUAUUGAGAGGGCAUACCAAUGGAUUUUAUCCUCAUUGGUUCUUAG